GAGUUUUUGAUGUCGCAGAUACUGCAUCAGGAACUGAUUGGAUAAGAAUCGGUCACCAUCAGUUCCUCAUGCAUUGCCUUCAGCAUCUAAACA
rfam:TPA: Bos taurus chromosome 11, whole genome shotgun sequence.